UAAGAAGUUGUAUAACCUCCCCUAAAUAGUGAUGUAAUGGACUUUUCCAUCUUGAACCUUCGAUUGCUGACUUCAUGCGUGUUUUAAUGGAGUACCAUACAUUUAAGUAUUUAUUGAAGAGAAUAAGACUAGGAAAUGAGGAAAUAUAAAGAAGAUUGGUUGCGCAAUUAAGUGCAUUACAAAAACACAGACACACUGAAAUAAGUUCCGUCUUGUUAUUGAGAUACCUAUGUUGGAUAGGUCAGAAUAGCCGAAGCAAGCAACACUGGAACCGUUCAAGUAAGUAAACGAGUUAAGCUUUGUUUUCUUUUAAAUUGAAAUGUGGAUAUUUUGCUUAGAGUCAAUAUGACUAUGUUAAACAUAAAUACACCAAUCAACACCGCGAAUGCUUUUUUUCUAAUCGGGAAUACUCCCGAAAAGCAAUCUUAAACACAGUUGACUAUUGUCAACAUAAAUAUACAUGCAUAUAUAUUAUGUAUAAUUAUAUAUUGUAGUGACGUAAUUUUGUGACGUCAUGUCCAAAUAUCACGAGAUUAAGAUGGCGGACAAAAUAAAACCAACGCAUUCUUCUACAAGAGCUUCAGAGGGGGCACUGCAAAUUUAAUGAUCACCUCCACAGAAUUGAAGUCAAAGACUCACCCUGGUGUUUAUGUGGAGAACCUGAAACCAUAAAUUUCUCAUUACCUGAUUGACUGCAAUCUCUUCUGUGCUGAAAGGGAAAAAAUGUUCUCUAAGUUAGAGGUUAGAGUCUAACCUCAGGCUCAACAACAUAACUGGAAUACCGCACCAAGAGGUCAAAGAACACCUUCUCCUCACUUCUGGACAAGAUGAUCCAUGGGAAGAGGAUAGACAAAUGCUGAAGAAUUAAGUGCCUUCGUCAUAAAUACGGAACAGUUUUCCAAUUGAUAACUCUGCAAUGUGAUGUCCCUAAAACAAAUGUACCUGUGAGACUUUAUUUGUUGACAUUUACUGGUGAACGAGUCCUACCGGAAGUUAUUGCGGCUAAUUGAGGCCAAGACGAAGACGGCAUACAUAUUAUAUCGGAAUAUACAGACUGAAGAUGACAUAGAGUCAUUGCAGUUAGAGGUAAUUGCAAGUACUGAGGAAUCCUCAACAUCACUUGAGUUCAAAGAGUUUAAGAAAACUUAUGAUGAGCUGAAGGGAGCCUUUGGUCGAUUCAAAGAGGAACCCUUAAUGAGAGAAGACUUCAGUGAUGGAGUGGAGGUGUGGGUUAAGUGGGAGGAAGACAGGCAGACCAUUUGAGUAUUACAUAAGGUAUUUGACGGACAAACACAAGUGUAGAGUAGGGAAGGCUUCACCGAAGAAAAAUUGAGAGGCACAGACAGACAUCAUUAGAUUUGUAUUAUUGUUAUUGUAUGGAGUAUAAUUAUACAAUGUACAUAUAUAUGGUUCUUUCUUCACAUUGUGCCUAUCUGUAUAAAAUGUUGUUUUUCUUUUUGGUGGCAAGUAAACAGAAUAUAGAAAUUAUAUCUGUUAAAUUUAUAUAUUUAUGAGCUCAUCUGAUUUUUAAAAAAAAUGACGAGCUAUUGUCGUUGUUGGUUAAGUUUUGCGUUUUGGUCACUAACACUGUUGGAAUCUAUCAAAGCUAUCACUUUGAAACUUUUGCGACUUGUUCAUCUAAUACCUUUCUUCACAUUGUACCCUAAAGAUGCUGAGUCUUACCUUUUUGGGGGGGAAAAACAUAAAUUUUGAUGGAUUUCGGUUGAUUUUGAGAAUUGGACAUAGCUUCUUUAAUUUUUGUUGAAUUUAUUUCAUUUUUUUUCUAGACAAUAAAUGGAUAAUGCCUUCAAUAUAUUGAACAGGUUUUUGAGUCACACAUUUGGAAGGGUAUGGGGAGGAUGGGGGAUAUUUUAGUAUUUUUGGAUUUGUAAUUAUUAGCAAGUCUAUUUUUUAUGUUUUGUGCUUGGGUCACUUACAUGCAAACUAUCAAAGCUAUCACUUUCAUACUUUGGAAUACCAUUUCACUAUCAAAUGUACAAUAUGAUAUAUAAAUAAAUCGUAAAAGCAUAAAAUCAGAUGAACGUAUAGCACCCACAGGCGGAGCUCUUGUUUAAUUCUGCAGCUAAUUGUAUAAAACUGGUUAAGUCUUUGCUAUGGUUAAAAUUGCCCAAAAUGUUUAUUGAUUGGUCAAUAUUUUUCAGAUAAUUAUUAUUUACCAAUGGAAUAAUUUAGAUUUGCACAGUAGCCUAAAGAAACCAGUGGACAACUUAUCCAAGUUUUAUACAAUUAGCUGCUGCAGUCUUAUAUUAAAGAUAAUGAUUUUGAUGUUUGUUUGAAUCAAUGCUGCAGAAUAUAUAAGAUAUUGUGCUUCAAUAAGAUCAUCAACCUUUAGUUGCAAAAGUUUAUUUUAUUGAUGCACUUAUGACACAUAUACAUACUGUAGAUUAAUGAAAUAGGGCAAAGUAAUUGUAAUUUGUUAAAUUGAGCUAUUCUUGACAUAUAACUGAGCUGUUAUAAAAGAAAACUAUGUCAUAAAAUUGAUGUUGUAUUGAUAACAUAUGAUUUUUUUUGUAUAAUACAUAUUUAGUUAACCUUGUAUUUGUUAAGUUAUAAUCAUGCUACAGAUAAUUAUUUUGCCGUUUGAAUAUGACCACUUUUAGAGCAGAUCAGGUUAUAGUUUUACAAACGAUAUAUCAGCUGUCCGGCGGGCGGCCUCCAAAUUAUAGUCUUAUCAAUUAUCAAGAGGCCUUUGUCCAAUCUUCUCCAAAUUUGGUCAGAAUGUGCAAGCGCAUAAUAUCUCAAACUUAUUUGAUAAACAGCUAUUUCGCUUCAGUUGCUCAAGAGAAAACAACCUUUAGUUAAAGAAAUUACAUCAAAUUACAUGAUAAUUGUUUUUAGAAAUCUUUGUCCAAUCAACACCAAAUUUGGUCAGAUGUGUAUGGGCAUAAUAUUAUUAUAUGGGACAAGGUUUAUAUCAAGCAGCAUUUUUUGAUUCAUUCAAGAUUCAAUUACAUUUAAAAAAAGUAAUUGCCUAAAAUUGGUCUUGUCAUAUCAUUUACUGUAGAAGCUUUGUCCAAUCUUUACCACAUUUGUUCAAAAUGUGUACAGGAAUAAUUUUUUGGACAAAGUUUAUUAACCAGCCCUAUCCCUUGAGUCACACAAUUAUCAUGCUUUGAUUAUAUAAAUUUACUGAAAUAGGAAUUGUCUGAUCAAUAACUUAACACGCCAUCUCCAAUCAUCACCACAUUUAGUCAGAAUGUGUAUGGGCAGAAUAUCUUGAUCAUAAGCUUGUCGCAUCAGUCACUUUAGAGAGUUUGCAGUCUGCUCUCUAAAUUUAGCUAAACAGACAACCAUUUAUUACUAAACUGGUUAUUGUGAAAUGAAGACAGUCAUAUUUUGUGACAGAUGGAGCUUGUGUUGUUUAUGUUUAUGUAAGAAAUAAUUUAUUAUCUAAUUGUUAUCUGAUGGCCUUUAUUCCUUUUUCCUUGCGGUGC